AUUGAACGCUGGCGGCAGGCUUAACACAUGCAAGUCGAGCGGGGAAGAGUAGCUUGCUACUUUACCUAGCGGCGGACGGGUGAGUAAUGCUUAGGAAUCUGCCUAUUAGUGGGGGACAACAUCUCGAAAGGGAUGCUAAUACCGCAUACGUCCUACGGGAGAAAGCAGGGGACCUUCGGGCCUUGCGCUAAUAGCUGAGCCUAAGUCGGAUUAGCUAGUUGGUGGGGUAAAGGCCACCAAGGCGACGAUCUGUAGCGGGUCUGAGAGGAUGAUCCGCCACACGGGGACUGAGACACGGCCCAGACUCCUACGGGAGGCAGCAGUGGGGAAUAUUGGACAAUGGGGGGAACCCUGAUCCAGCCAUGCCGCGUGUGUGAAGAAGGCCUUUUGGUUGUAAAGCACUUUAAGCGAGGAGGAGGCUACCGAGAUUAAUACUCUUGGAUAGUGGACGUUACUCGCAGAAUAAGCACCGGCUAACUCUGUGCCAGCAGCCGCCGUAA
rnacentral:rRNA from 1 species